rnacentral:rRNA from 1 species
GACGAACGCUGGCGGCGUGCUUAACACAUGCAAGUCGAACGGAAAGGCCCUGCUUUUGUGGGGUGCUCGAGUGGCGAACGGGUGAGUAACACGUGAGUAACCUGCCCUUGACUUUGGGAUAACUUCAGGAAACUGGGGCUAAUACCGGAUAGGAGCUCCUGCUGCAUGGUGGGGGUUGGAAAGUUUCGGCGGUUGGGGAUGGACUCGCGGCUUAUCAGCUUGUUGGAGGGGUAGUGGCUUACCAAGGCUUUGACGGGUGGCCGGCCUGAGAGGGUGACCGGCCACAUUGGGACUGGGAUGAGGCCCAGACUCGUACGGGAGGCAGCAGAGGGGAAUGGUGCACAAUGGGCGGAAGCCUGAUGCAGCAACGCCGCGUGCGGGAUGACAGCCUUCGGGUUGUAAACCGCUUUCGCCUGUGACGAAGCGUGAGUGACGGUAAUGGGUAAAGAAGCACCGGCUAACUACGUG